rnacentral:rRNA from 1 species
GGUUCGAUCAUGGCUCAGAUUGAACGCUGGCGGGAUGCUUUACACAUGCGUGUGCCGAACGGCAGCACGGACUUCGGUCUGGUGGCGAGUGGCGAACGGGUGAGUAAUGUAUCGGAACGUGCCUAGUAGCGGGGGAUAACUACGCGAAAGCGUAGCUAAUACCGCAUACGUUCUUCGGGGAAAGCGGGGACCUUUCGGGCUCGCACUAUUAGGAGCGGCCGAUAUCGGAUUAGCUAGUUUACGGUGGGUAACGGCUCACCAAGGCGACACAUCCGUAGCUGGUUUUGAUAUCGACGACCAGCCACACUGGGACGAGACACGGCCCAGACUCCUACGGGAGGCAGCAGCGGGGAAUUUGGACAAUGGGGGGAAAUCCCCGAUCCAGCCAUCCCGGCGUGUGCGAUGAAGGCCUUCGGGUUAAAGCACUUUUGGGUAGAGAAAUCUGCACGGGAUAAUACCCCGUGCAACUGACGGAACGCAGAAUAAGCACCUGGCCAAUCUGAUACGCCAGCAGCCGUAAUACGUGUAGGGUGCAAGCGUUAAUCGGAAUUACUGGGCGUAAAGCGUGCGCAGGCGGUUCGGUAGAUGAACUCAGAGCUUAACUGGAACUGCAUUUUGGAAUCACCGAGCUAGAUGUCAGGAGGAGGUGGAAUUCGCGUGUAGCAGUGAAAUGCGUAGAUACGAGAACACCGAUGGCGAAGGCAGCCUCCUGGGAUAACACUGACGCUCAUGCACGAAAGCGUGGGGAGCAAACAGGAUUAGAUACCCCUGGUAGUCCACGCCCUAAACGAUGUCAACUAGCUGUUAGCCUUGGCCUUGGUAGCGCAGCUAACGCGUGAAGUUGACCGCCUGGGAGUACGGUCGCAAGAUUAAAACUCAAAGGAAUUGACGGGGACUCCGCACAGCAGAUGAUGAUUAAUUCGAUGCAACGCGAAAACCUUACCUACCCUGACAUGUCUGGAAUCCCGAAGAGAUUUGGGGAGUGCCUCGUGCGAGAACCGGAACACAGGUGCUGCAUGGCUGUCGUCAGCUCGUGUCGUGAGAUGUUAAGUCCCGCAACGAGCGCAACCCUUUGUCAAUAGUUGCUACGAAAGGGCACUCCCUAAUGAGACUGCCGGUGACAAACCGGAGGAAGGUGGGGGAUGACGUCAAGUCCUCAUGGCCCUUAUGGGUAGGGUCACACAUGUCGGUCGGGACAGAGGGUCGCUAACCCGCGAGGGGGAGCCAAUCCCAGAAACCCGAUCGUAGUCCGAUCGCAGUCUGCAACUCGACUGCGUGAAGUCGGAAUCGCUAGUAAUCGCGGAUCAAAGAUGUCGCGGUGAAUACGUUCCCGGGUCUUGUACACACCGCCCGUCACACCAUGGGAGUGGGUUUUACCAGAAGUAGUUAGCCUAACCGUAAGGAGGGCGAUUACCACGGUAGGAUUCAUGACUGGGGUGAAGUCGUAACAAGGUAA